CCCCUCCCAGGAUGGCACCUGGAGAGUUUCCAGUACACUACCAGUCUCGGCUAUGGGAAGGAGAGUCAAGCAGAGGCCUACCCAUUCCAUUCCUAGCUUGGCCAGUGGCUAGCGAGUGGAAGACAGUCUACUACAUCA